GACGAAGGGGGCUAGCGUUGUUCGGAAUUACUGGGCGUAAAGCGCGUGUAGGCGGUUGCCCAAGUCGGGGGCGAAAGCCUUGAGCUCAACUCAAGAAAUGCACUCGGUACUGGGUGACUAGAGGAUCGGAGAGGAUAGUGGAAUUCCCAGUGUAGUGGUGAAAUACGUAGAGAUUGGGAAGAACACCAGUGGCGAAGGCGGCUAUCUGGACGGUUUCUGACGCUAAGACGCGAAAGCGUGGGGAGCAAACAGG
rnacentral:rRNA from 1 species